ensembl:lncRNA
AGGAGUGCACUCACUUUGCACUCUGGGGUUGAUGGAUGAAUACGUGAUUUUUUCCAAGGCAUCCUAAAGCUGUUAAACCUUACAGGCCAUUUAAAAGACGGGUAAGAACAAACAACGUGAUUAAAGGGAGCUGCCAAAAGCUGUACAAGUGUCAGCUGCCACCACUGCUCGUUACAUGGAUGAAGCUGUUGACUUUUAAUUUAUAGACAUUUGAGAAGGUGUACGUGAAGACUUGAAAAGAAGGCUUUCUUUUGCUAAAAGAAAAAAGAGAACUGUUAUUAAGAACCUCUGCUGAAAUACACUGAAUUACUUCUGCUGGUCUGUGCUAUUUGCCAAUGAGAUCUUUCUGGUUGUGUCAGAAGAUGUUCAGUCUGUCAUUCAGAUCCUCAAGCAGUGAAAUGGAGGAGAUAGUAUUUGACCAUCUGGCACUGUCUUCUUGGGCUUUACUGACUGCAAAAACAGAAGAUGUUCUGCUGAGUGAUGACUGGUUUUUGUCCUGUCAUGUCCUGAGUUUCCACAUCCCCCUGCUCGAAGAAAUGCCAGUUCUUCCAACCACUUCUUUUUUCCUGGAUACCUGUCAACUGUUCACAUUCAGAGACCUUGGAAGGGUAACCAACUUUGAAGAUUUUGUAGACGGCUUUUUGCCCGAAUGGGAAACUGCUGAGUUUCAUCUCAUCCCUGUAGUGGUUAAUUCCAGGACACUGGGAAAGACCCCGAGCUCUAAACGUUGGAUUAAGAUCUUCACUUCAGCAGCUGAGACAAUCACACUCAGGAAACUGGGAAAAAGAGUCCUGAGGGCAGAAAGAAAGGAGAUCUACCUGGUGGUGGCAGAACAAAAAGAUUACACAACCUUGCAAGAAGAAUGUUAUUUAAGAGAAUCCUCAAAGGCCGCUCUAAGGAUUGCUGCUGAGAAUAAAGCACCUGAGAUGGAUAAUGUUCUUACAACAAAAGAGUUUAAAAUAAAAGGUUCAGUCUUGCAAGAUGUGAAUAUAAGAAGCUAUCUUCAACUGAAAAGUCUAUAGAAGAGAUUUUGGAACAAACAGAAGAUCAACAGGAUCUAAUUGUGAGGAGCGGACGAUACUUCUUCAGAUGGAACUGAAAUGUGAAAUUGCAGAAUUUUAACUUCGGUACCAGGUGCAAAGAGUGAGUAAUGUGGUGAUCAGAAGGAAGGCUGACUGUCUGAAAAGAAGCUGGGCCCAGUAAAACCGGUUGAGAAGGGACACAAUUGCUGUCUAUAAAUUUAUGAUGAGGUGACUACUUCAUCAACUUGGCUUUUCACUGGCACAGAAGAACCAGAAAAUGAACCUGGCACUAGAAGCCUGUGUUUCUUCUGCAGCUGGGAAAGCGAUGGGCCUCUCCAGAGCAAGAUUCACCAAAGCAUAUACAAGACUCUCGAUGCUGGAUGUGAAGGCAGAGAAACAAUUUACUGUUUUAAAACAAAGAGCCUGUUCCUCAGGAGACAUAGACUGGUAAAAUUCAUGUGAAGGCACACCCCAGUUUCCUUGACUGCAAUGCAAUCCAAAUGCAGGCUUCAAGACCCAAUGGUCAGAGUAUUGGGUCAAGCUGAGAACUUGUGGGUUGUUGUCCUGGGCUCAGCUGCUCAUCUUGCCUCAACCUCUUCAGCAAAAAAUGUGUCCUCAUAUGCUCUCAUUGUGUGGAACAGUUAUUACUUGGCUGGUUUUGCCCUGCUUCUCAUCAUGGCCCGGGAGGCUCAGUGACAGCCCUUCCACAAGCUGGUUCUUCUACUAAUUUACUGUGCAUUCAGAGAGGGUAACAUUUCCAGAGUGCAACCAAAUGAAAAAAAAAAAACCAGGAGUUUAUUAAGAUAUAUGCCAAAACUACAAACACAGAGGUUUGUAUACAUGCAUGCUAAUCAUUUCUAGUUAUGCAUGAAGUUAAUUUACAGAAGCAGAUUUACAUUAUUUUAAUGGCAUUCUCUACAAAUAAGAUUCAAUGAUUUCAGUUUGGUUUUGAUGCCCUUUUUAUGUUUUGCUUGUUUUGAGAUAUGUUUUAAUUUGCUUUGUCAAUAAUAAGAAAAAUUAAUGGAGCUCUUAUUAAGGUUAAAAGCACCUCGGAGAAGCCAUCACUUGUCAGUUUUUGUUUUAUUGCUAUGAUUACAACAAAGUUGUGCUGUUAUGAGUGGCAAAAUAAUAACCUCUUUUUCCCUGGCAGGUUUCAGAUUGCUUUUCUGCUCCUGCUUCUGAAGAGAAGUGAUGAGGAGCUGUCCUAUGAAAUGAUAGGGAAGCACUUGCAGAGGAGCACAGAGAUUAGGGAUACCCCUUGGAGGAAGGCAUUCAUGCUCCAUGCCAACCUGUGGGCUCCCAUCCACCUCCCACUGCCCACCGCAGCUCUCUUUCCUGCCACGGGACACCACCAACCCUGGCUGUCCUUGGCCCCAGCACUUCCCAAACUCAGCAGGACUCAGUUCACUGGCCUGAAACAGUGGAAUAAAUCUCACAGUUUUUCCCUCAAGAGGUAUAAUCCUUCAGUUUUCAUGACGGCAGUUUUCCUGUUUAUUUCAACAGAAGUGGUAUCUCAAGAUGAAUGGCAGGAUAAUACCCAUUUGAAAUAUAAGUGGACAGCAGCAUCAGAUCAAAUGGAUGGUGAAAAGAGACUGAAUGGAAAAUGAUGACAGGGCAAAAAUGUCCCUUCCUACCAACAUCUUCAAUGUUUUCAUUUCCAAGCAUUUGUUAAGCAAGGAAGAGGAUCUCUCUCUAUUUAAUGUAAUUUAGUGAUAAUUCUUUGGAAAAGAGAAAAUAUCCUUUCACAGCUGUAUCAACAAUAUCUUCUCUCUUAAAAGAAAACAGCAGCUGACUUGACAUGUCAAGCAUCACGUAUUUGGCCACGGAAGGCAAGCAUGAGCCAGACUGGUCAAUAGCACUGACUUGGAACAAUGCCACUGAAAAGUUGGUCUGUAAACUGAUGCUACCUUAUUUCUUGGAUUGUAGAAGGGCUUGCUGAGAUUUAGCAGCAAUGCAGAACUACCACAUUCCCGGUAGAUAUUUCUUUUCUUGUUACAUGAGACCCAUGCAUGAAGUGAAAAAGAACAAAUGAACAUCAGGUUUACAUCACCACUGAUAUGUGAAUGAUUGAUCACCCAUUAAAUCACAUACAGAGCUGGUAACAGCACACGGGGUAGCGUUAAAGUAAAAUGUUUGAUAUUCUUUACUCUAAUUAAACAUGGAAAUAAUACGAUGCAGUCUGUAUUGUAAAUGUUAUUGCAGAUUAUAGACCUAAAGGAGAGGUGUUAUGCCACCUUUAUAGCCUCCAGUUCCUGGAGACUGUGACUUAGAGCUGCCUCAGGGCUGCCCUAAAUUACACCAGUUGGUAAUGACUCCCAGAGGGCCGCUAUGCAUCCAGUGGUUGCUGGAGUGUAAAGUACUUUGGCUAUGCCAACAGCCCAUCAUUUCACAAUGGAGGCUGAGAGCAGCUGGCAUAGUGCUUGGAGAAAAUCCCCAAGUAGUGGUUUAAGACAUUUUUCGAACUCUUUUUUUUUUUGUCAUGAGAGUGAUAUAAAAUAAAGGCCAGAUUUCACAAACACACAGGGGCUUUUCCUUUAUUAUUUAAGCAUCUGUAGUCGUGAGUUGAUAAACUGAGAGAUGAGGGUUUCUAUAGGAUUUCAGAGCAGGUAUCAACCCAAUACUGCUUCAGCUUGGCAGCAUUCCAGCUCUUUGCCCUGGCCCCUAUUCCCUGCGUGGUGCAGUGGAGCACCACUGGCUGUCAAAGGCAUACUCCUGGUUUACAUCUCUGUUAGCAAAAGGAGAACUGGAUUCCCCCUUGUAAGUGCCAGAUUUUCGAUUCAGGAUCAUAUUCCAUUCUUCGAUGGAGCUGCCAAAGAUAAAACUUGACUUUCCACAUGUAAAAUGUUUUUGUAAAUGUAUGUGUGACUCAUUCAAUAGCUCAGCCCAUCCUCACUCAGUGAGUGAUGAUUUUUCUGUCCAGUGUGUGGGUGGGCUGACCAUUCUUACGCAAAUCUCAAAUAUAAAAAGUUUUCUUGGACAUUAGGGAAUAAUAUUGGCAGUUUGGGGAUUUUGUUUUGAUGUGAUGCUCACUUAAAGCAUCCUGAAGAUAAUAGCUGACUGCUAGCAGCAGAAACUCACAACUCACAAACUGAGAUGAUGCAGCCCAAAAUUCAGAUGGCUGUGUUUUCAAAUCUCUGAGAUAACAAGCCACUGCUGUUGAUCUUACUAUAAGUUCUAUGAAACAUAAUCAAAAAUAAAGUAAGGGACAGAGAUAUCACAGGUAGGAAAUCCUUUGGGCAGUCACAGGUAGGUGUUGUUCUCAGAUAAAUUUACUAGAGAAAAGUAAGUAUCUUUUCUGUUCUAAAGAGAGUUAUUUUAAAGAGUCACUGAGCUCCAAUAUCACUGAGGAGGAGAAUGAUUUCACGGAGAAAUUUUUCUGGAUGUGAAUUCAUAAAGGACUCACUCUCACAUUGUGUGGAGAAAGAUGAGUGUUAAGACAGAGGGCUGAGCUGUAACCUUCCUAAUGGGAAGAAAAAACUAGAAUUCCCUUCUCUUUCGCAGAGUUCUCUGAGCUAGUCCUGGCUAGCAGACCUGUGUAGGGCAGCAAAAAGACAAAAGAAGGACUGAUUAAAGAAGCUAACAUGGCAUCUUGUCUGCUCCCUGACUGUGCAUCCUUCUGUACACGUGGAAGAGAGAUGGUCUGGCAUUUCUGUCUCUCCCUGCAAGGAUCAAAUGGUGGUGAGAAAACUUCCUUGGUGCUUUGUACCUAUCUGCUGACAGAUGGACACACAAAGAGUUCCCAAAAAAAGGUGAGGAACGUGGAUCAUCAAAUGGUAGUAUAAAACAUAAUAAAAUGGUCAGAAAAAGACAUUAUCUGGCCCAUCGUUCUGCCUGAAGGCAGGAUUGACUUCAGCUACGUACAUUCUGAUAGCCAUCUGUCACUCUAUUUUUUGAAUUAUUAAAUGAUUUUUAGUAGUUAUAACACCUGUUAUUAUCCUCUAAGCAAUCCAUUCCAGUGAUUAGCUAUUAUUUCUGCACCCUGGAAUAACAUUGUUAACCUAGAACUAACAUGAGCCAAAUACUGGAGGUAUACGUGUUAUACUCACUUCUUUCACUAGAUCCUUUCUGGAGUUUGGAAAGAAGCCUAAUUAAAAUUAGAUGACUUGCACCCCCCCAUAUCAAAGGAUCUGGGCCAUGAUUUCUGUUGAUUUAAUGGUUUAAAAUUGACAAAAUUCCUUGGAUGGAGAAGGAUUUAUUUUGUAUUUCUACUGGAGCUGGAAUACAAUACCUGAGGACAGGAAAGUGUUUUGUUAAAAAAUAAAAGCAACUGAUUUUGUCUUCUGUGUGCUUUUAAAAUUUGUUCUGAAGGCAGAAAGGGAUGGAUAACUAUGUAAUUAAAGAGAGCUAAAGGAGGGACAGUAAUGAACAAAUACCAUUAUUUUUGCCAUAGUUCUUAAGGAAGCUAAGGUAGAGGUGCAGAAAAUCUGUUACAGUGAUGCACUUUACUUAGCAUGGGAGUUCAUGCAGUGCAAAGAGCUUGAUGUGUGCAGCUGAGCUGGGCCUAAUGGGCAUCAGUUGUUAUCUGUGGAAAUGGAGUCUGUUAGAAGGAGGCUGGCUACUAUACCCGUCUGAGAUGGCUAGUGGGAUUUUCAACAUACUAGUGACCUUUUCUUACUCAUUUUGCUGAAUUUUUAUCCAAUAAAAGCCAUCAUGUGCCCCAUAUACCCAAGUCUGUAUUGUGCAUUAUGAGUCCGUUGGUGAGGGUGUUGUGAGAAGCAGAUGGAGAGGAGUAGAAGACUGUAGAGAUGGAACAGGGGUUGGGGAACAAGGGGAGCUGCUGAAAGCCAUAUACACUCAAGCACUCUCACAUUUACAUAUAUUCUUUUAAGUAUGCUUUUAUACAUACAUGUAUAUGCAUGUAUAUACAAAGUGCAUUCUACACAGCAUUUCUCUCCCAGAAAUGCAGAAACUGCUGUGAAUCUGCCAACAGGCUUUGCAUACUUAUGCUAGGAAAAUUCUUAAGGAAAACGAUUAUAUACCUGUUGUAAAUUGAUCCAGUUUGAUAAGAAUUUCGCUAAUUAAUUAUGUGCCUUAUAAAGCUCCUGGCACAUGAGGAAGUUACAGACAAUUAUGAGUAACUAAGUACAGAAGUUUAAAUAGCAAAAAACUUGUUACCUGUUAAUGCUGUUCCCUGUCCAUUUUGAUGGGCGCAUACUGGUUAUGGUCACUCUCCAAUCCUGUAUUAAAUAAACAUAAGUUUAACAGAAAUGUUGCCG